rnacentral:rRNA from 1 species
GACGAACCGUGCGAACGUUGUUCGGAAUCACUGGGCUUAAAGGGCGCGUAGGCGGGCUAUCAAGUCCGGGGUGAAAUCCUCCAGCUCAACUGGAGAACGGCCUCGGAUACUGAUGGUCUCGAGGGGGAUAGAGGCACACGGAACUGUGGGUGGAGCGGUGAAAUGCGUUGAUAUCCAUAGGAACUCCGGUGGCGAAAGCGGUGUGCUGGAUCCCUUCUGACGCUGAGGCGCGAAAGCCAGGGGAGCGAACGGG